rnacentral:rRNA from 1 species
CAGCAGCCGCGGGAAUACGGAGGAUCCAAGCGUUAUCCGGAAUCAUUGGGUUUAAAGGGUCCGUAGGCGGUCUUGUAAGUCAGUGGUGAAAGCCCAUCGCUCAACGGUGGAACGGCCAUUGAUACUGCAGGACUUGAAUUAUUGGGAAGUAACUAGAAUAUGUAGUGUAGCGGUGAAAUGCUUAGAGAUUACAUGGAAUACCAAUUGCGAAGGCAGGUUACUACCAAUUGAUUGACGCUGAUGGACGAAAGCGUGGGUAGCGAACAGGAUUAGAUACCCGUGUAGUCCCUGUCUCUUAUAU